CUAAAAUUAGAUAAUGGGGAUGAUUGCACAACUUUAUUAAUAUACAAUAAAACCGGUGAAUUGCACACUUUUAAGUGCUUAAAGUGAACAUUAUGUUAUGCAAAUUUAAUCCCACCUCCAAAAAAAAUUCACCUCCAAGAUUUACUAAGCCUAAGCUUGUGUGUGUGUGGAGGACUUAGAGAUGGGCCUGGCGCCCAGACCCCUAACUCCUCAGGUUCCAGAUCUUUGUACAAGUCAGCAACCUCUCG
rnacentral:lncRNA from 10 species